CAUUGCAGAUGUUGCCGUAUGGUAGGUAACACGGGACAGUGUUAGAACCGACAGAACACAGAAUGCAUAAAGCGCAUGUGAUGGUUUCGGUCUCGUCCGCAUGCCUGGAAAUCACCAGAUAAAUUGAAAACGUCAACGUCAGGAACGUCUCGAAUAUCAGCUGAAACAGAUCCCAGUGCCAGUGGAUGAGAAGGUGUGAAGAUUCCGUGUACAGACUGUAGCAUGGUGUAUUCUUGUCACCUCCUCGCUGUCCCCAUCACGGCAUCUUCUUCUACAUCAUCUCACUACACCCCCUCAACCCGGCGCCACCGCUCACGAUGUCAUCAAUCAGUCAGUAAUGUCGCUUGGUUUUUUUUGUGACGUCUCUAACAGUAAUGGCCCGGAUGAUGAGGUUUCCGGACUAGCGGGGUCCGUUCAAGUGGAGUCUAUCUGUUCCGGUCACCUUUAGCUCAAAAAGUGACCGGAUUUGCGUUCGAUGUUGCGUCUCACGCUAUGAAUGAAUCGGUGAAGAAAACGACUUCAGUUGAUGACUGAUGAAGCGGCUGGAUGGCGAGACACGACAGCUGUAGAGUGAGGACUUCACUAGGAGAUUGAGCCCUUCAGAGAUUCGUCAAAGAUCACAUUGAUACCGACGAUGACAGGAUCGGCCCAAUCGAAAUAGGACCCGCCAUAUCCUGCCGUUUGACAUGGUUCAUAUCUCCUGUGUUCUCGACCUAACCUCGACCACUCGAGUCACUGUUCAUGCAGUUACUUCCAGUGAGGGUGAGGUGAGGUGAAAUUGGGUUUAACGUCGCGUCCAAGAUUAUUGCACUUAUAUAGCGACGUGCAUGGACGUGUGUGGUGUGUGUGU